UAAUUUGGCGCAUUUCAGUUCCUAAAAUUUGCGAUACAGAGAAGAUUAGCAGGGCCUCUGCGCAAAGAUGGCAUUCUCAGAUUAUUACGCUCAACGCAUUUUA
rnacentral:snRNA from 1 species